rnacentral:lncRNA from 1 species
GUGGUGCUGCAGGCCGAGGUGGCCGAUCUGCGCCAGGACAACCGGCGGCUGCAGGAGGAGUCGCAGAGCGCCAGCGAGCAGCUCAGGCGCUUCGCACGGCUCUUCGCCAGCAACCCCCCCCCAAAAAAGGAGCUCUGAGCACCCAUGGGUGCGGGGGGGGGGGCAUGGAGACCCCCACCCACACACCACCAACCCACCCGUGGGGGUCCUGUAGGGUUUAUAUGGGACCAGGAGCAGCUCUAUGGGGGCCUAUGGGGCCCUGAGCCCCAGGUAUGGGACCAGGAACAUCUGUAUGGGAUCAGGGACAUCUGUAUGGGAUCAGGAACAUCUGUAUGGGAUCAGGAACAUUUGUAUGGGACCAGGAGCAGCAAUAUGGGACCAGGAACAUCUGUAUGGGAUCAGGGACAUCUGUAUGGGACCAGGAGCAGCAAUAUGGGACCAGGACAGUCUGUAUGGGGUCGAGAGCAUCUGUAUGGCACUGGGAAUAUCUGUAUGGGACCAGGAGAAACCAUAUGGGACCAGCAGCAUCCAUAUGGGAUCAAGAGCAUCUCUGUGGGACCGGGAGCAGCAAUAUGGGACCAGGACUGUCUGUAUGGGACUGGAAACACUUUUGUGGGACCAGGAGCAGCAAUAUGGGACCAGGAACAUGCAUAUGGGACCAAGGGGAUCUGUAUGGGACCAGGGACAUCUGUAUGGGAUCAGGGACAUCUGUAUGGGACCAGGAGCAGCAAUAUGGGACCAGGAACAUCCAUAUGGGACCAAGAGCAUCUGUAUGGGAUCAGGAACAUCCAUAUAGGACCAAGAGGAUCUGUAUGGGACUGGGAACGUGUGUGGGACCAGGAGGAGCCAUACGGGACCAGGAGGGUCUGUAUGGGACCAGGAGCAUCCAUAUGGGGUCAAGAGCAUCUCGAUGGGACCAGGACUGUCUAUAUGGGACCAAGAGCAUCUCUAUGGGAUCAGGAACAUCCAUAUGGGAUCAGGACUGUCUGUAUGGGACUGGAAACAUCGUUGUGGGACCAGGAUCAUCCAUAUGGGGCCAGGAGCAGCUGUAUGGGACCAGGAGCAUCUCUGUAAGGCCGAGGACAAAUCCCUACAAGACCAGAAGUGUCCUAUGGGGCCGUAAGCGUCCAUAUAGGGCUGGGAGCAUCCCUAUGGGGCCAGAAGCAUUCAUAUAGGACCAGGAGUGUCCGUACGGGGCCAUAAGUGCCCAUAUGGGGCCGGGAAGACUCCUAUGGGGCCGGGACUGCUCUUAUAGGGCCAGGAGAACCCUAUAGGGCCAGGACCACUCCUGUGGGGCCGGGAGGACCCUAUAGGGCUGGGAAGACUCCUAUGGGGCCGGGAGGACCCUAUAGGGUCGGGACCACUCCUGUGGGGUCAGGAGCAUGUGUGGGGCCGGGACCACUCCUAUGGGGCCGGGAUCGUUGCUAUGGGGCCAGCAGCGCCCCCGUCGGGCCGGGCGCCCCCUAUAGGACACGGGGCACCCUAUAGGGCCGCCCCCCCCUUUGCGGUCUUCC